rnacentral:rRNA from 2 species
CCACGGUGCUGAAGCAACAAAUGCCCUGCUUCCAGGAAAAGCCUCUAAGCAUCAGGUAACAUCAAAUCGUACCCCAAACCGACACAGGUGGUCAGGUAGAGAAUACCAAGGCGCUUGAGAGAACUCGGGUGAAGGAACUAGGCAAAAUGGUGCCGUAACUUCGGGAGAAGGCACGCUGACACGUAGGUGAAGUGAUUUACUCAUGGAGCUGAAGUCAGUCGAAGAUACCAGCUGGCUGCAACUGUUUAUUAAAAACACAGCACUGUGCAAACACGAAAGUGGACGUAUACGGUGUGACGCCUGCCCGGUGCCGGAAGGUUAAUUGAUGGGGUCAGCGCAAGCGAAGCUCCUGAUCGAAGCCCCGGUAAACGGCGGCCGUAACUAUAACGGUCCUAAGGUAGCGAAAUUCCUUGUCGGGUAAGUUCCGACCUGCACGAAUGGCGUAAUGAUGGCCAGGCUGUCUCCACCCGAGACUCAGUGAAAUUGAACUCGCUGUGAAGAUGCAGUGUACCCGCGGCAAGACGGAAAGACCCCGUGAACCUUUACUAUAGCUUGACACUGAACAUUGAGCCUUGAUGUGUAGGAUAGGUGGGAGGCUUUGAAGCGUGGACGCCAGUCUGCGUGGAGCCGACCUUGAAAUACCACCCUUUAAUGUUUGAUGUUCUAACGUGGACCCGUAAUCCGGGUUGCGGACAGUGUCUGGUGGGUAGUUUGACUGGGGCGGUCUCCUCCUAAAGAGUAACGGAGGAGCACGAAGGUUGGCUAAUCCUGGUCGGACAUCAGGAGGUUAGUGCAAUGGCAUAAGCCAGCUUGACUGCGAGCGUGACGGCGCGAGCAGGUGCGAAAGCAGGUCAUAGUGAUCCGGUGGUUCUGAAUGGAAGGGCCAUCGCUCAACGGAUAAAAGGUACUCCGGGGAUAACAGGCUGAUACCGCCCAAGAGUUCAUAUCGACGGCGGUGUUUGGCACCUCGAUGUCGGCUCAUCACAUCCUGGGGCUGAAGUAGGUCCCAAGGGUAUGGCUGUUCGCCAUUUAAAGUGGUACGCGAGCUGGGUUUAGAACGUCGUGAGACAGUUCGGUCCCUAUCUGCCGUGGGCGCUGGAAGACUGAGGGGGGCUGCUCCUAGUACGAGAGGACCGGAGUGGACGCAUCACUGGUGUUCGGGUUGUCAUGCCAAUGGCACUGCCCGGUAGCUAAAUGCGGAAAAGAUAAGUGCUGAAAGCAUCUAAGCACGAAACUUGCCCCGAGAUGAGUCUUCCCUGAGACUUUGAGUCUCCUGAAGGAACGUUAAAGACGAUGACGUUGAUAGGCCGGGUGUGUAAGCGCAGCGAUGCGUUGAGCUAACCGGUACUAAUGAACCGUGAGGCUUAACCUUACA